rnacentral:tRNA from 1 species
GGGGUUGUAACUCACUGGUAGAGCGCUUGCCUGGCACGCAUGAAGCCCUGGGUUUGAUCCCCAGCAUCACCU